rnacentral:lncRNA from 1 species
UUCGUUUGGGAGGGUGAGGCUCCGACACAGAUUGCACGUCAAAUCGUGACGCACAAACUUAAUGUCGACCCAUCUAUCCUAGCUCGUCGCCAAAAGCGUCGAGUGCUCACCUCUGACAGGCGGGAGGCCGCCAACGAAGAGAUAUCGAAACUUCUGAAUGCCGGGCACAUUCGAGAAGUUCGAUAUCCAACUUGGUUGGCCAACCCCAU